CCUGAGAAACCCAAAAGAUCGAAUGGGGAGAUUCACCGUCAGCGCUGCUGGCUUCCGUGCGGCUCGCGAUGGCCGGGACCUCGGUCUCGCGUCACGCGGUCGCUGCGGUAUGUCCGGCUGCGUCGGCGUGCACUUCUCCCCUAGUAGGACGUCGCGACCCGUUGGGUGUCGGACCGAUGGCCGUUCGGUCGCCUGUCUCGUCGCGUUCGCGCGCGCACGGGGCAGACCGCAAUGGUCGAGCGUCCGGCUGCCCGGCGGUAUAGAACGCAUAAAGAUUGGUAACGAGCCGCACUCGAAGUGCGUUCAGGCUCGUCGGCAGGCUCGCCUCGCCCGGAUUUACGGACCUAGCGCCGUUGCCGGGUGCUUGGCGUGGCCGUUAGUCGACGAUGUCCUCGGACUGGCUCUUACCGGUCGGCGACGCUACUGCUUUGGGUACUUUC
rnacentral:rRNA from 1 species